UCUAGUUGAUAGGUAUUCGACUAGCCGGACUGUUCCCCGGACUCCAUGUGUAGGGAUUUGUACAAUGCUUGAACAAGGCUAUUAAAUUUGACAUUGGUGUCUGCCUUUAUUCCUUUAUCCAACAUAUCAUACUGAAACAUGGUACGUUGGUACACACGUUUGUUAUUUUUGUAGCUAAGUACAGUAUAGGCGCAGUUAUGUUCCAUAUGCGAACACACUCCGUUUCCUACUCACAACACAGAUCAACUAGCUGGCUAGCUACCAUCACUACCUACCUCGAUGACUGAAGGCAAAGAAAUCUAAUAUUCUAUCGCUAUGGCAGCGAUAUGGUUCUCACAGGGGACUGGAAUACUAAUUGGGACAACUUCAGGGAUGAAAUCAAGGACUAUGUGCUGGCGACCGGUCUACAUGAGAAACCCAACGAGGUACAAGCUGCAACUCUGAGAAGUUUAAUGGGCAGCAAAUGCAGGCAUAUCUACCGGCACAAUCUCACCCUCACAGCACGACAGCAGUGUGAUGCAAAGGCUAUAUUGGAUGCAUUGGAGAAUUACUUCAAACCCGCCAGAAAAGUCAUUUACGAGCGGUUCGUUUUUGGAAGCUGCAAACAGGAAGAGGGGGUUGAAGCCAGGCCCUCCUAACAGGAGGGUGUUCCUGUCAGCAAGACCCAAAGAGAAGAGACUGGUUGAGGGAGUGAGGAGUACUUUCUAUAGAGGUGUCACCAGGGGUGCUGCCUGUCCUCUAAGUGGCAGAGGUGUACAGGAACUUUGCCAAUGCUACAGCCCCUUUGGUCACUACAAUGGACAUGUCCACUGAGGUCCCAUUAGUGGAUUCUGGCAUUGGUGAAGUCCAGGCAGGGAGCAUCCUGGCAUACCAGCAGCCUGCUACAACAACUCGCAACAUCACUUCGCGUGAAGUUGCCCCCCCUCCAUCUCUGCCACUUGAUGGUUACAGUCUUGGCCCAUCUGUGUGCAUAUUUGUCCAUAGUGUGCAUGAACUCCUACACAUGAGCUCACUGGCAAUUACAUUGGAAACAGCCCACAAGGUCGAGAGUGCUAUGAGAGUGCAUAGCUUAUUGCUGGAGGGGCAUCACCUUCACAAGCCACGCAUAACCUCCUCCGGCUUCAAAGAGGUCUGCCAUGUGAGGGGGCAGAGUUCUGCAGAACACCUGGCUGACAGAACUCAUCAGUCUGCAGAGAUGAAGAGAGGUCUGUAGAUGGUGUUUGCCGUUGUGGAGGAAUACUGUGUUCUCCAGAAUGUCAACAGUUACCGCUGUGCAUUUCUUAUCUACCCAGAUGCCCCUUGGCUUUGGGUAUUUCCUGAUGGACCCCACAGAGAGUCCAUCAUUUGGCCUUCUGGAGAUAAAGUGCCCAAAUGUCAAGAGCUACGUGGACUGCCCUUACCUAAAGACCCAGAAUGGUACAACAGCACUGAAACACCAGCAUGCAUACAACUAGCAGAUACAAGGUCAGAUGCUGAUCUCAGGGUUGGAGUGGUGUGACUUUGUGGUAUAUGCCCAGGAGGACAUGCGGAUACAGCACAUCCACAGACUGCCAAGUUUGGGAAGCAAUCAGAGAGAAAGCUGGUCAUUUUUUUUAUUACUCUCCUUGGUCAAAUGUAUCCAAAUGUAAAAUGUACACUUUUUUCCAGAGAUGACUUGUUGAAAUAUCAAUUAUAUAUAACCAUAGUCUUGUUUUUUCAUUCUGAUGAAUAUUAAUUUUAAAAUAUAUAUUUUUCAACUUUUGUACAUCUUCCCUUUAUCUGUGAUUAUUUCUAACAUAUAUUAUUUCCUAAUGUUAUGAGGUAUAAGGCAUUAUAUUAUGAAAGAUAACCACUUUUUUGUGCUAACUGUUUUAUCCCCCCGAAUCCAACAAAUGUAUUAUAUUGAUGUCAAAUGUUUUGGGUUUGUUAGUGAAAACACUGGACAAAAUAGUAGAGUGCCGGCCUGUAGACCUGCAACACUGAACAUAAGCAGAAGCAGAGAAAAAAACAGGCCAAUCCAGUUACCAGUCUAAUCGUAUUGAAAUUGACAUCAUCACUAGUCCUUUGCCCAAGCUUUGACCAGCGGCCCAUUCUGGUAGUUGAUGAGGAGGCAGGCAACGGUGUAGAGCUGGUUGAUCCCAGUGAAGGAGAGAGGUAUGAGUGUCAAACAGCUUAUGAUCUUUCGUUCUGCUAAUCAGCCGCUCCACAUGGACCCUCAGCCGAGUGGUGGAUUGCAUCUCCCUGACUUCUGCUGCUGGCAUCUGUGAUCUCUUUAAGAGAAAAGUCGGUCUGUAUACCUUGCAGGGCACACAUUCGUCCACAAGGAAACCUUUGUCCACCAUAAUGGUUAUCCCUGGAUUCAGCGGAGACACGAUGCCGGACGGCUUCAAGAUCUCCUUAAUACGGCGGCAGCAUAAAGGGCUGAAACAAAGGUGAUUGCAUCAUGUGGUGCCAUGCCAAUCAUCAAUUCGAAGGUGCAGUGGGACAGCGCAACUCUGUGCAGUCUAUCACCACUUGUGUGUCUGGGUAUUCCUUGAAUUCCUCUGGCAAGUGAGUGCUUAACUGCUUCCUUGGACAUUCAGAUACUUUGAUAAUUGACAUUACUUUAAUUUACUGUUGUAAUUCCUGAUAGUGUGACCUCCUCAUUCCUCUUUGCAGCUGCCCUUGCUCUGGUCACAUGUACCAUGUUGUGGGAUGCCGGUUCGAUGAGCUUCCAGAAGGCCAUUAGGUGGGCAUAUGUGGCAAGCUUAUGUCAGAAAUGAGAAAUGUUAUGAUGAAUGAUGAGAGAAGAUGUAUUUAUAGCAAUCCUAGGUACCAUUCACUGCCUCCAGUAUAGAAGACAAGAUGUACAAGCAUGUACACUUAGGCAUGAUGAGAAAAUAAAAUAUUUUUAUUACCUGAGAGCAAAGCUCUAGAAACAACGUGUAACUUCUAAGCCUGCAAUAAAGAUCAAGGCACUCCUUUUGUGCCAAAAAAAAUAAAAAUCCUUUAUUUAGGUUGAUUUUUACUUACUUUGUUGCAAACGUUUCUACUCAAGCCACAACAUAGUUUUGCUCUCAGUCGAUUUAGACCUUAUUUUCAAUGCGCAUCCUUUUGAUACCAUAUAUUGUUAUUUUUAUUGAAGUAAAGCAGCACUCUUUA